rnacentral:rRNA from 1 species
GACGAACGCUGGCGGCGUGCUUAACACAUGCAAGUCGAGCGAGGCCCGCUCUUCGGGGGUGGUGCCCUAGCGGCGAACGGGUGAGUAACACGUGGGCAACCUGCCCCCGGCUUCGGGAUAACUCCAAGAAAUUGGUGCUAAUACCGGAUGUGACCGCUGACCGCAUGGUCUGGGUGGUGGAAAGAUUUAUCGGGCUGGGGGAUGGGGCCCGCGGCCUAUCAGCUUGUUGGUGGGGUGAUGGCCUACCAAGGCGACGACGGGUAGCCGGCCUGAGAGGGUGACCGGCCACACUGGGACUGAGACACGGCCCAGACUCCGUACGGGAGGCAGCAGGUGGGGAAUAUUGCGCAAUGGGCGGAAGCCUGACGCAGCGACGCCGC